AACGAACGCUGGCGGCAUGCCUAACACAUGCAAGUCGAACGAGACCUUCGGGUCUAGUGGCGCACGGGUGCGUAACGCGUGGGAACCUGCCCUUAGGUUCGGAAUAACUCCCCGAAAGGGGUGCUAAUACCGGAUAAUGUCUCGGACCAAAGAUUUAUCGCCUUUGGAUGGGCCCGCGUUGGAUUAGCUAGUUGGUAGGGUAAAAGCCUACCAAGGCGACGAUCCAUAGCUGGUCUGAGAGGAUGAUCAGCCACACUGGGACUGAGACACGGCCCAGACUCCUACGGGAGGCAGCAGUGGGGAAUAUUGGACAAUGGGCGAAAGCCUGAUCCAGCAAUGCCGCGUGAGUGAUGAAGGCCUUAGGGUUGUAAAGCUCUUUUACCCGGGAUGAUAAUGACAGUACCGGGAGAAUAAGCGCCGGCUAACUCCGUG
rnacentral:rRNA from 1 species